rnacentral:lncRNA from 1 species
AAAAGUAAAUAAACGCCCUCAAGUUAGGAAUGAACGGAGGAAAUGGGUUAAACGAGAAUAAAUAAUUGAAGGCAGAGAGGUAAAGAACUUCCUCUUUCAACGCAUCUCAAAAUUUGGCGUGGAUGCAGAUCACCUACAGAGUAUGAUUAUUCAUCUUUACAUUGCCUUGUUUUGAGGGUCUCACUCUGUUGCCCAGGAUGGAGUGCAGUGGCACAGUGACGGCUCACUACAACGUUCACCUCCCGGGCAUAGGUGAUUCUCCUACCUCAGCCUCCCAAGUAUCUCGGACUACAGGCGUGCACCACCACGUCCAGCUAAUUUUUGUAUUUUUUGUAGAGACAGGGUCUUACCAUGUUGCCCAAGGUGGUCUGGAACUCCUGGGAUCACGCAAUCCUGCCUCCUUGGCCUCCCAAAGUGCUGGGAUUACAGGCGUGAGCCACCAUGCCUGGCCUAUUACUGAUAUACAAAUAGUGUUUUGUAUAUUGUUUUCACUUAAUAAUGAACAUCUUUCUGUAUCAGCAAAUAUCCAUCUGCUUCCUCUUGAAUGACUGCAUAAUACUCGAUUUGUCUUAUCACAUAUUAAACCAAUAUCCUACAGUUGGACAUUAAGGCUAUUUCCAAUUUUUCACUUUAUAAAUAUAUCCACUGUGGACCUACUUAAAAGAUAAAUCUUUUUUAUUUAUUUAUUUAUUUAUUUUUUUGAGACGGAGUCUCACUCUGUCACCCAGGCUGGAGUGCAGUGGCGCCAUCUGGGCUCACUACAAGCUCCGCCUCCCAGGUUCCCGCCAUUCUCCUGCCUCAGCCUCCCGAGUAGCUGAGACUACAGGUGCCUGCCACCACGCCCAGCUAAUUUUUUGUACUUUGUUUUAGUAGAGACGAGGUUUCACCGUGUUAGCCAGGAUGGUCUCGAUCUCCUGACCUCGUGAUCCACCCGUAAAAGCUAAAUCUUUUUGUGCAUCCUUCAAAUAAAAUUCCCAGGAAUCUCUCCCUAAAAAUUGGAUGUCCCCAGUCAGCAAAGUCCACAGAUCCUAAAUCAGGCAAUCCUUAAAGUCAAGGUCAGUUCUUAAGAGAAACUUUGAGUUCCCAGGGCCUCCUGCAGUACCAGGCAUUCAGAGAGUAUUCAGCAAGAGCUUGAUUUUUUUUUUUUUUUUUUUUUGAGACGGAGUCUCGCUGUGUCACCCAGGCAGGAGUGCAGUUGUGCCAUCUCAGCUCACUGCAACCUCCGCCUCCCAGGUUCAAGUGAUUCUCCUGCCUCAGCCUCCUGAGUAGCUGGGACUACAGGUACACGCCACCCGCCUGGCUAAUUUUUGUAUUUUUUAGUAGAGACGGGGUUUCGUCAUACUGGCCAGGCUAGUCUCAAACUCCUGACCUCGUGAUCUGCCCGCUCAGCCUCCCAAAGUGCUGGGAUUACAGGCGUCAGCCACCGCACCCGGCCAAGAGCUUCAUUUUUAUAAAAUUGAGCCAGGUCCUAUUGUAAGAACUUUGUAGGAAGUAUCCCAUGUACCCCCACAGACCCUGAAAAGACUGUUCCACACAGGUGAGGAAACUGAGGCUUAAGGAAGCUAGAGGGCUGGCCCAUAGACUCUCAGUAGCCUCUAUGAGGUUUUGGCCUCUACACCUAAUAUGGUUUGGCUGUGUCCCCACCCAAAUCUCAUGUUGAAUUGUACUUCCCAUAAUCCCCACAUAUCGUGGGAAGGACCCCGUGGUAGGUAAUUGAAUCAUGGGGGCGGAUACUCCCAUGCUGUUCUCGUGAUAGUGAGUGAGUUCUCACAAGAUCUGAUGGUUUUAUAAGGUGCUUUUCCCCCUUUGCUCGGCACUACUUCUUCCUGCUGCCACAUAAAGAAGGACGUUUGCUUCCCUUUCUGCCAUGAUUGUAAGUUUCCUGAGGCCUCCCAGCCCUGCGGAACUGGAGUUAAUUAAACCUCUUUCCUUUAUAAAUUACCCAGUCUUGGACAGUUCUUUAUAGCAGUGUGAGAACAGACUAAUACAACACCUCAACCCUGACCUAUGAAGUAACCAGGCUCCUAGGCUGAGAAAGGAGCAGGAACAUUAACCAAGAGAGAAUCCAACCCGUUCAUGCCUGGUGGGUCCUCACUGACCUUCCCCCGAGGUACCUUAAGGACAGAGAAGUGACGGAGAAGGGAGUUAGCGUGAAGGGAGAAGCCCCCAGGCUUCUUGUAUGAGCCUGGGAAUCCCCCAUCAUUCCCUUGGCCUCCAGAUUCCCUGCACCUGCUCCCACAAGCCCAACACCAUGUUGCUGGCAGAGUGAUCUUUUCAAAACACAAGUCUUAGCAUGUCAGCACCGGGUUUAUAACACCUUGAUGGUGUAAUCCACACAUCUGGCAUGUGAGCAUUCCAGGCAGAGGGAACUGCACAUGGAGGGGCCAGACAGGGGAGACAAAGCAAGAAGCAUGUAGCAAACUGCCAGUAGUUAAGGAUGGCUGGGACACAGAGUAGAAAUGGAGGACUGGGGAUAGAUGAGUCUGGCUCUACAUAACCUCAUGUCUUAUCCCCAUUUUACAGAUGAUGAAACUGAGGUUCAAGCCAAUGACAAGCCUGAAGCCACAUGGCUAGUGAGUGGCAGAGUCAGAACUCAAACCCAAAUCCACCUGACCCCAAACUUCAUGUAUCUUGAACUACAGGCUCCAUCUCACUGUUCACACUCUCACCCACCUCCACCCAUCAAAGGUGCCUCUAGACCUUUGCUUGUGUUGUUUGUUCUCUGCCUGACAUGCCUCCCCCUCAGUCGCUCUCAGUUGAAACCUGGCUUAGUCAUCAAGUGCCUGCUCAGCAGCAAGACCUCUUCUCUUCACAGAGCCUUUGUUGAGCCCCACCACUGGAAUUAACCUCUUCCUUCCAGACCAGUUUGGUGGUGCCCCUAAUCCACAGUUUCCCAACCUCAGCCCUACUGACACUGGGGCUGGAUAAUCUUUGUCGUGGGGGCUGUCGUGUGCACUGCAGGAUAUGGAGCAGUACCCCUGCUUUCCACCCACGAGAUGCCAUGGCACCCUCCUCAAGUUGCAACAACCAAAAUAUGUCUUCAGACAUUGCCACUGUCCCCUAGGGUACUAAAUCACCUCUAUGGAGAACCACUGUCCUAAGCUACAAUACUCACUGCCCUCUGUUUUGAGCCAUAAAUAGUUGUGUCUGUGUCUAUCUUACCAGUAAAGCCUGGGUUCUCAAACUAAGUUGUCAGCAGCAGACAGACAGGUAACCCUGGUGUAGCAGGGGCAAACUGGCCUUCUGAUGUCCCGGCAACAGGGGUCCAUCACACUCAGCCGGUGGUUGUCGUGCAGGACUGUGGGCCCAUUGUUGCUAGAUCUGAUUUUUCAAGACAUUUUCUUUUUUUCGUUUGUUUUUGUUUUGUUUUAGAUGGAGUCUAACUCUGUUGCCCAGGCUGUAGUGCAAUGGCACGAUCUCAACUCACCACAACUUCCACCUCCCAGGUUUAAGUGAUUCUCCUGCCUCAGCCUUACAAGUAGCUGGGAUUACAGGUGCCCGCCACCACGCCCGGCCAAUUUUGUGUAUUUUUAGUAGAGAUGGGGUUUCACCAUGUUGGCCAGGCUAGUCUCGAACUCCCUACCUCAGAUGAUCCACCUGCCUUGGCCUCCCAAAGUGCUGGGAUUACGGGCGUGAGCCACCGCGCCCAGCUCAAGACAUUUUCAUGUAUAAUUUCCAUGUUUAAAAAAAAAAUGCUGGCAAACAAUUCAAUUCUGAAACAAAGGAACAAAAACAAACCAUGUGCCCCAGAAAGUCAUCCAUGGACUGACUCUGGCCCGUGGGCUUCCAAUCUGCAAACUCUCUCUAGAACGUGACCUCUGCUUCAGGCACCAAGGCAGCCUGCAUGUUCACUAACGUGCAGGUCCUUAAAUCUCCUGCAAAAUAGCCAAGGGGCUGUAGUGUUCCACCAGCUCCAAGAGUUGCAAAAUCAGCAUUUUAAAUUACAGUCAUGAGCAGACAAGUGGGGUCUGUUGACACAUGUUGGGUAAGCCUCCCCUCUAGGGAGGAUUAUCCCCCCUCCCCCACACCACAAUCCAUCACCCUCACACUCAGGCCUGAAGCAACCCCCUGUGCCAGCCUCCCCGAGCUCCAGCUUCCCAGUGAGAUCAAAGAUCCUUGGAAGGCGGUUUCCUGCCACCUGCACCAGUGAGGACAAAGGUAAGGUGAGAGGAAUUGUAGGCCUUGGCUUUAUCCUCAAUCUGCUCGUUCACCAGUUCCCAGGCCAAUCAGGCCAAAAAUGCUUCUGGUUUCCAGAAACAACCCUACUACACUAAGAAAAGGGGUUGUUCUGGGUGGGGCGUGGUGGCUCACGCCUGUAAUCCCAGCACUUUAGGAGGCCAAGGUGGGUGGAUCAUCUGAGGCCAGAAGUUCGAGACCAGGCUGGCCAACAUGGUGAAACCCUGUCUCCGGUAAAAAUAUAAAGAUUAGCUGGGCAUGAUGGCACGUGCCUGUAAUUCCAGCUACUUGGGAGGCUGAGGCAGGAGAAUCACUUGAACCCAAGAGGCAGAGGUUGCAGUGAGCUGAGAUCAUGCCACUGCACUCCAGCCUGGGCGACAAGAAUGAAACUCGGUCUUGAAGGAAAAAAUAAAAUAAAAUAAAAUAAAAUGGGUUGUUCUGGAAGGGUAUCCAUACAGUGACAUCUUCAAAAUAGCAAAAGCUGUUAUUAGCUGAGCCCUUACUAUGUGCCAAGCACCAUGCCAGUCACUUCAUGUGCAGAGACUCAGUUAUUCCUCAUGACAACCCUAAGAAGUAGAUACUUUUCUUAAGCCCAAUUUAGAGAUGAGGACAUUGAGGCUUGGACAGGUGAUGUGACCUACCCCAGACCACACAGCUAGGAGAAGGUAGAGCCAGGAACCCAUCCCCACCCUGGGAACCCUUAUAAAGGGUUCCUCUUAGGUGUCUCAGUAAUCAGGAUGGUGGUUCUUAACAUAACGUCUUACCCACUAUCCUGGAUUGGCACCGUGGAAGAAUACUCUGGGGAAUUUUUUUUUUGGAAAUACAGGUUUUAUGAAAACACACACAUACACGCACACAAAUUUUGAACUGUAUUUAAUGAAAUGCCUGCCAAAGUAUGCAAAGGGGCAGUGGAUGGAUGUCUCUUACUUACUUUGGAUGCAACUUACUUUGAAAUGCAACAAGAAAUAAGGUGGAUGGCUGGGCGUGGUGGCUCACGCCUGUAAUCCCAGCACUUUGGGAGGCCAAGGCAGGUGGAUCACAAGGUCAGGAGAUUGAGACCAUCCUGGCUAACACGGUGAAACCCUGUCUCUACUAAAAAAUACAAAAAAUUAGCCAGGCGUGGUGACGAGCACCUGUAGUCCCAGCUACUCUGGAGGCUGAGGCAGGAGAAUGGCGUGAACCCGGAAGGCGGAGCUUGCAGUGAGCUGAGACGGCGCCACUGCACUCCAGCCUGGGCGACAGAGUGAGACUCCAUCUCAAAAAAAAAAAAAAAGAUAAGAAAUAAGGUGGAUGGAUGGGUGGAUAGAGGGAAGGACAGGUGGCUAGAGCUGAGAUAAGGCAACUAGAGUCAACUGUUCAUUGUGGAAUCCGCAUGGUGGGUGAUUGAUGUUCACUGCACAGUUCUUUCAAGAACACAACAUCUGGGGACAACUGUAGGUUCCAGGGCUGCAGCACAGCCUUCCUGCAUUGGAAUGUCUGGGGGUGGGACCCUAGAAUGAUUCUGGGGCCCAGCCCUCCCCUACUCAGUGACAAGCAAACUUCUGCUCUCUCACUCACAGAGUAUCACCAGGUCAUGUGAAAGUCGAUGCAUCUUGGCCUCUGGUGCCCCUUUUUCUCCACUUCACGCAGGCCCAGGGCUGGGCUCAAGGGAGCAUGGGUAGAAUAGGGUAAAGUCACACCUCAGUGCCUGAUGACUGACACUCUCUAGCCCUCUGCACCAGUAGUGAUUUCUGCUGUCCACGGCACACUGCCAUGGCGUGAACAGAAUGUUUGUGCCCUCUCCUCCCAAAUUCAUAUGUUCCACUGUAUGUGGUUAACUAUAAUUUAUUGUAUAGUCUCAAAAAACUAGAAUACUCUGGAUGUGGUGGUUUACGCCUGUAAUCCCAGCACUUUGGGAGGCCGAGGUGGGCAGGUUGCUUGACCUCAGGAGUUUGAGACCAGCCUGGCCAACGUGGUGAAACCCCAUCUCUACUAAAAAUACAAAAAUUAGCUGGGCGUGGUUGUGGGUGCCUGUAAUCCCAGCUACUCAGGAGGCUGGGGCAGGGGAAUCACUUGAAUUUGGGAGGCGGAGACUGCAGCAAGCCAAGAAUGUGCCACUGCACUCCAGCCUGGGCGACGAGAGGAAGACUCUGUCUCAAAAAAAAAAGGGAAAAAAUGUAAAAAGAAAAUUUAAAAAAGGAAAGAAAAAGAAACUUAAUUCCCAACGUGAAAGUGUUAGGAGGUAGGUCUUUUGGGAGGUGGUUAGGUCUCAUGAAUAAGGAUGGAGCCCUCAUGAAUGGGAUUAGUGUCCUUUUAAGAAGGGUCCCCAGAGAGCUCUUUUGCCCCUUCCACCUUGUGAAGACACAGUAAGCUAGAAUAUGAGUCCUCACCAGACACUGAAUCUCCCAGUGCCUUGAUCUUGGACUUCCCACCUCCAGAACUAUGAGCAGCCUGGGCACAGUGGCUCACACCUGUAAUCCCAGCACUUUGGGAGGCUGAGGUGGGAGCAUCACAUGAGCCCAGGAGGUGGAGGCUGCAGUGAGCCGUGACUGCACCACUGCACUCCAGCCUAGGCAACAGAGCAAGACCCCAUCUGAAAAAGAAAUUAUGAGCAAUACAUUUCUGUUGUAGGUUUCCUAGUCUAUGGUAUUUUGUUUUAAAGCCUAAACUGACUGAUACACAUUUCCAGCUCUCUUGAGGAGUCUUUAAGCACAAUCUACAUCUUGGAUAUGAUAAUAACAGUAAUGCUUCCACUACAACUACAGGCCAAGCAUGCUGCUAGCUGCUAUGAUGUAUUCCAGCUCAUUUCAUCCACAAACCCCUACCAGAGACCUACUUCUGCCCUCCCUCCCGUUAUGGGAGAAAAAAAACUGAGGCUCAAAAAGGCACUAAGCCUACAAUAAUGAAAUCUGUGUGGUACUGACAUGAGAACAGACAUAUAUAGAUCCAGAGGACAGAAUGAGUGUCCAAAAAUAAACCCAUACAUCUAUUCCUUUUCUUUUUUUCCAAGACAAAGUCUUGUUCUGUCACCCAGGCUGGAGUGCAGUGGCGUGACCUCGGCUCACUGCAACCUCCGCCUCCCAGGUUCAAGUGAUUUUCCCGCCUCAGCUUCCUGAUUAGCUGGGACUACAGGCACGCACCACCACGCCCAGCUAAUCUUUGGUUUUUUGUUUUGUUUUGUUUUGUUUUUUUGAGAUGGAGUUUCACUCUUGUUGCCCAGGCUGGAGUGCAAUGGCGCGAUCUCGGCUCACUGCAAACUCCGCCUCCCAGGUUCAAGCGAUUCUCCUGCCUCAGCCUCCCUAGUAGCUGGGAUUACAGGCAUGUGCCACCACGCCUGGCUAAUUUUGUAUUUUUGGUAGAGACGGGGUUUCUCCAUGUUGGUCAGGCUGGUCUCGAACUCCCGACCUCAGGUGAUCCGCCCACCUCGGCCUCCCAAAGUGCUGGGAGUACAGGCGUGAGCCACCACGCCCAGCCAUCUUUGUACUUUUAGUAGAGUUGGGGUUUCACUGUGUUGGCUAGGCUGGUCUCGAACUUUGGACCUCAGGUGAUCUGCCCACCUUGGCCUCCCAAAGUGCUGGGAUUACAGGCAUGAGCCAUUGCACCCGGCCCCCAGUGGCUUUUCAACAAGGGCCAACAAGGUCAUUCCAUGGGAAAAUAAUCAUUUAAUAAAUAAUGCUAGAACAAUAAGAAAAAGAAGAAAGUUCAACCUCUCUGUCUAUGUAUAGAAUGGACCAAAGGCCGAAAUAUAAGAGCUAAAACUGUAAAACUCGUAAAAGAAAACAGAAGGGUAAAUGUUCACAACCUUGGGUUUGGUGAUGGAUCUUUAGAGAUGACAGCAAAAGCACAAGCAAUAAAAGAAAAAAAUAAAUUGGACUUUAUAAAAAGUAAAAACUUUUGUGCAUCAAAGGACAUUAUCCAAAAAGUGAAGACAAUUCACAGAAUGGGAAAAAAUAUUUGCUAGUCAUAUAUCUGAUGAGGGUCUAGUAUCUAGAAUAUAUAAAGAACACUUGCAACUCAACAACAACAAAAAAACCCAAUUUAAAAAUGAGCAGCCCUCUCCCUCUCCCUCUCCCUCUGCCCCUCCCCUCUUCCCUCUUUCCACGGUCUCCCUCUGAUGCCGAGCCGAAGCUGGACUGUACUGCUGCCAUCUCUGCUCACUGCAACCUCCCUGCCUGAUUCUCCUGCCUCAGCCUGCUGAGUGCCUGCGAUUGCAGCCUCACGCCGCCACGCCUGACUGGUUUUCGUAUUUUUUGGGUGGAGACGGGUUUUCGCCGUGUUGGCCGGGCUGGUCUCCAGCUCCUAACCGCGAGUGAUCCGCCAGCCUCGGCCUCCCGAGGUGCCGGGAUUGCAGACGGAGUCUCCUCCACUCAGUGCUCAAUGGUGCCCAGGCUGGAGUGCAGUGGCGUGAUCUCGGCUCGCUA